rnacentral:rRNA from 1 species
GACGAACGCUGGCGGCGUGCUUAACACAUGCAAGUCGAACGGAAAGGCCCUGCUUUUGUGGGGUGCUCGAGUGGCGAACGGGUGAGUAACACGUGAGUAACCUGCCCUUGACUUUGGGAUAACUUCAGGAAACUGGGGCUAAUACCGGAUAGGAGCUCCUGCUGCAUGGUGGGGGUUGGAAAGUUUCGGCGGUUGGGGAUGGACUCGCGGCUUAUCAGCUUGUUGGUGGGGUAGUGGCUUACCAAGGCUUUGACGGGUAGCCGGCCUGAGAGGGUGACCGGCCACAUUGGGACUGAGAUACGGCCCAGACUCCUACGGGAGGCAGCAGUGGGGAAUAUUGCACAAUGGGCGGAAGCCUGAUGCAGCAACGCCGCGUGCGGGAUGACGGCCUUCGGGUUGUAAACCGCUUUCGCCUGUGACGAAGCGUGAGUGACGGUAAUGGGUAAAGAAGCACCGGCUAACUACGUGCCAGCAGCCGCCGCAG